AGAGUUUGAUCAUGGCUCAGAACGAACGCUGGCGGCGCGUAUUAAGCAUGCAAGUCGAACGGUAGAGUGGGCUUCGGCCUGCUUGAGAGUGGCGAACGGGUGAGUAACACGUAGGUGAUCUGUCCUUGAGUGGGGGAUAGCCCAUGGAAACAUGGGGUAAUACCGCAUGAGGCCUUGGUACUGUGGUACUUAGGUAAAAGGAGCAAUUGUUUCGCUUGGGGAUGAGCCUGCGGUCCAUUAGCUAGUUGGUGUGGUAAGAGCGCACCAAGGCGACGAUGGAUAGCCGGCCUGAGAGGGUGAACGGCCACACUGGGACUGAGACACGGCCCAGACUCCUACGGGAGGCAGCAGCUAAGAAUCUUCCGCAAUGGGGGAAACCCUGACGGAGCGACGCCGCGUGGGCGAAGAAGGCCGGAAGGUUGUAAAGCCCUUUUCUGGACGAAGAAUAAGGUGGGGAGUGGAACGCCCUGCUGAUGACGUUAGUCCAGGAAGAAGCCCCGGCCAAUUACGUGCCAGCAGCCGCGGUAACACGUAUGGGGCAAGCGUUGUUCGGAAUCACUGGGCGUAAAGGGCGCGCAGGCGGUCACAGCAAGCUUGGUGUGAAAUACCCCGGCCUAACCGGGGGGAUGCGCUGGGAACUGCUGGACUAGAGUUCAGGAGGGGGAGCUGGAAUUCCUGGUGUAGGGGUGAAAUCUGUAGAGAUCAGGAAGAACACCGGUGGCGAAGGCGAGCUCCUGGCCAUGGACUGACGCUGAGGCGCGAAAGCGUGGGGAGCGAACAGGAUUAGAUACCCUAGUAGUCC
rnacentral:rRNA from 1 species